rnacentral:rRNA from 1 species
UCGAGGGGAAACGACAUCGAAAGCUUGCUUCCGAUAGGCGUCGACCGGCGCACGGGUGAGUAACGCGUAUCCAACCUGCCCAUCACUUGGGGAUAACCUUGCGAAAGUAAGACUAAUACCCAAUGACGUCUCUAGAAGACAUCUGAAAGAGAUUAAAGAUUUAUCGGUGAUGGAUGGGGAUGCGUUCCAUUAGGUAGUAGGCGGGGUAACGGCCCACCAAGGCAACGAUCAGUAGGGGUUCUGAGAGGAAGGUCCCCCACAUUGGAACUGAGACACGGUCCAAACUCC